GCUGGGUAUGGUGGUGCAUGCCUGUAAUCCCAGUGGCUGGGGAGGUUGAGGCAGGAGGAUUUCGAGUUCAAUAACGGGGGAAGGGCUCCUUCCUCUU
rnacentral:sRNA from 1 species